rnacentral:snoRNA from 1 species
UUACAUUUGCUGUCUGUAAAGUGAAUUCACUCCCUUCCUAGCCAUGAAAGAGCAUUUUCUUGUUUAUUGGCAAAGCUGUCACCAUUUAAUUGGUAUCAGAUUCUGACUUGCACAAGUAACAUUC